CCUACGGGAGGCAGCAGUGGGGAAUAUUGGGCAAUGGGCGCAAGCCUGACCCAGCAACGCCGCGUGAAGGAAGAAGGCUUUCGGGUUGUAAACUUCUUUUCUGAGGUACGAAGAAAGUGACGGUACCUCAGGAAUAAGCCACGGCUAACUACGUGCCAGCAGCCGCGGUAAUACGUAGGUGGCAAGCGUUAUCCGGAUUUAUUGGGUGUAAAGGGCGUGUAGGCGGGAAAGUAAGUCAGAUGUUAAAACUCAGGGCUCAACCCUGAGCCUGCAUUUGAAACUGUUUUUCUUGAGUGGAGGUGAGGCAAUCGGAAUUCCGUGGGUAGCGGUGAAAUGCGUAGAUAUACGGAGGAACACCAGUGGCGAAGGCGGAUUGCUGGACAGUAACUGACGCUGAGGCGCGAAAGCGUGGGGAGCAAACAGGAUUAGAUACCCGAGUAGUC
rnacentral:rRNA from 1 species